rnacentral:rRNA from 1 species
UACGUAGGGGGCAAGCGUUGUCCGGAUUUAUUGGGCGUAAAGAGCGUGUAGGCGGCUUGGUAGGUCUGCUGUGAAAACUCGAGGCUCAACCUCGAGCUGUCGGCGGAAACCACUUGGCUAGAGUCCGGAAGAGGAGAGUGGAAUUCCUGGUGUAGCGGUGAAAUGCGCAGAUAUCAGGAGGAACACCGGUGGUGUAGACGGCUCUCUGGACCGUAACUGACGCUGAGACACGAAAGCGUGGGUAGCAAACAGG